AUUAAAUAUUUGUACAAGCAAGCAGAUAGCACAAACUGCAAUGAUUACGCUUGUGUUGUAAGUUGCCUUGUCUGAGACAAGGCAUAUGUUGAAACCAGGCAGAAUCUGUUAUACCAUCCAUUUCAUUCAGUGCGAUCAAUUUCAGCAGCAAUCUGCAUACAUUAACAAUGUGAAAAAAUAGAAGGUCAACAAUAAGAAGGGCUUGUUUAACUGAUUC